CAUCUUCGUUCGUGCUUUUCUUAAGAAUGUGUAUAUAGAGAUAAAAAUAAAAUGAAAAUAAAAAUAAGUAAAAAUAUAAAAUGAAAACAAAUGGUGGAUUCAUAUACCAUGUGUGAAUGUCCUCUUGUGUGUGUCAGAGCCACCAAAAUAAUGGAGGUUACUCGACUGUUACAUACACGAGGGGAUAUUGAAAGCAUACCACAUAUAAAACUAAGAUAAUUAGAAAAUGGUUCAUUAUAAUUAACUUUUUGCUUCACCCAAUAACUUCUGAAUUUUUCUUUUAGGUUCAGUUUUUGUUUUGUUUUAGAAUAUCAGCCUAUAUUUAAUACCCAGAUGUGCAUAAUUUGUAGGACAAUCGGGUAGUAUAAUGAAGGUAACUGUUGGAACCAGAUACAGUUACAAAGAAGUGAUAUUGAACAUACAAAUUUUAACAUUGUAAUUUCCCUUUUUACAUCUUUUUGGGUUUAUAAGAUAAGAAAUGGAUUAGCAAUACAUCUGCUCGCCAGGGACAAUAUAGGCUCAAUUUAGAUUCAGAAGUAGUGGGUUAACCUUUCAAAUGCCACUGCUACUGCUGUAACGCUUUGUUACAACGUCAGCGUCUCAUAGUCUGAUAUUUAUUUUUACUCUGAUAAGUUACGGCACACAGGUAUACUGACUCAUGAAACAUUUACGGUUUACUGCAUUUAACAACAGCGUGGUCUCAAGACGGCUGCAUAGACCCACAACUAUCGACCUUUGGUUUUGUAUGUAGUGGUCUUCUUUUAUCUUCAUAAUGGAUUGGUUAAUGUACAGAUGAUUAAGGAAAGGAACUUCAACUUGGUUGCACUACACCGUUGUUAGGAUUGGUUAAUUUUAAUGCGCAUGGCUGAAGCAAUGUGCAAGGAGGGAUGUAGUGUGAAUAUUAAAUCAAGGUUGAAGGUUGAAAUCAGCUCAGAAUAAGGAAUGGGACACUCAAAACAAAAA